rnacentral:rRNA from 1 species
AGUGAACGCUGGCGGUAGGCCUAACACAUGCAAGUCGAACGGCAGCACAGUAAGAGCUUGCUCUUACGGGUGGCGAGUGGCGGACGGGUGAGGAAUACAUCGGAAUCUACUUUUUCGUGGGGGAUAACGUAGGGAAACUUACGCUAAUACCGCAUACGACCUACGGGUGAAAGCAGGUGAUCUUCGGACCUUGCGCGAUUGAAUGAGCCGAUGUCGGAUUAGCUAGUUGGCGGGGUAAAGGCCCACCAAGGCGACGAUCCGUAGCUGGUCUGAGAGGAUGAUCAGCCACACUGGAACUGAGACACGGUCCAGACUCCUACGGGAGGCAGCAGUGGGGAAUAUUGGACAAUGGGCGCAAGCCUGAUCCAGCCAUACCGCGUGGGUGAAGAAGGCCUUCGGGUUUUAAAGCCCUUUUGUUUGGAAAGACAAGCAGCAGGUUAAUACCCCGCUGUUCUGACGGUACCCAAAGAAUAAGCACCGGCUAACUUCGUG